AAGGGAAGAUGCCUUCUGCCAUCCACUCUGCCCCUGUCCUGAAGGUCCUCCCUAACCAAGUCUGCCGUCCACUCUGUCCUGAAGGUCCUCCCUAACCAAGUCUGCUGUCCACUCUGUCCCUGUCCUGAAGGUCCUCCCUAACCAAGUCUGCCGUCCACUCUGUCCUGAAGGUCCUCCCUAACCAAGUCUGCUGUCCAUUCUGCCCCUGUCCUGAAGGUCCUCCCUAACCAAGUCUGCCAUCCACUCUGUCCUGAAGGUCCUCCCUAACCAACAGUCUGCCGUCUGCUCUGUCCUGAAGGUCCUCCCUAACCAACCGUCUGCUGUC